rnacentral:rRNA from 1 species
AUUGAACGCUGGCGGCAGGCCUAACACAUGCAAGUCGAGCGGUAGAAGGGAGCUUGCUCCUGGAUUCAGCGGCGGACGGGUGCGUAAUGGCUAGGAAUCUGCCUGGUAGUGGGGGAUAACGUCCGGAAACGGGCGCUAUUACCGCAUCCGUCCUGCGGGAGAAAGCGAGGGAUCUUCGGCCCUCACGCUAUCAGAUGAGCCUAGGUCGGAUUAGCUAGUUGGUGGGGUAAAGGUUUACCAAGGCGACGAUCCGUAACUGGUCUGAGAGGAUGAUCAGUCACACUGGAACUGAGACACGGUCCAGACUCCUACGGGAGGCAGCAGUGGGGAAUAUUGGACAAUGGGCGAAAGCCUGAUCCAGCCAUGCCGCGUGUGUGAAGAAGGUCUUCGGAUUGUAAAGCACUUUAAGUUGGGAGGAAGGGCAGUAAGUUAAUACCUUGCUGUUUUGACGUUACCAACAGAAGAAGCACCGGCUAACUUCGUG